GGCUUUCUUCGCGGCGGAGCUCGACCGCCCGCGCCGGUAGUCGUCGACUAUGUCGAUAGGCACAAGGAGCGGUUCGGGGUCGAGCCGAUCUGUGCCGUGCUCAAGGAUGCCGGUAUCCAGAUCGCCCCG
rfam:Frankia sp. ETN1h contig_86, whole genome shotgun sequence.